rnacentral:rRNA from 1 species
UAGGCGUAAAUGAUGCGAGUUAAGUGUGGGGGCAUCUACGAGAUGGCCCUGUGCUGUAGGGUAGCCGUUAAACUCGCUGCCUGGGGAGUACGGUCGCAAGGCUGAAACUUAAAGGAAUUGGGCGGGGGAGCACCACAAGAGGUGGAGGCUGCGGUUUCAAUUGGACUCAACGCCGGAAACUCAUCGGGAGCGACAGCAGUAUGAUUGCCAGGUUGAUGACCUUGCUUGACAAGCUGAGAGGAGGUGCAUGGCGUAGUCGUGU